rnacentral:rRNA from 1 species
CCCUACGGGGUGCAGCAGUCGCGAAAACUUCGCAAUACGCGCAAGCGUGACAGAGGCCAUCCCGAGUGCCUUCCGCUGAGGAGGGCUUUUACCCAGUGUAAAUAGCUGGGAGAAUAAGGAGAGGGCAAGCCUGGUGUCAGCCGCCGCGGUAAUACCAGCUCUCCGAGUGGUGUGGAUACUUAUUGGGCCUAAAGCAUUCGUAGCCGGCCAGACAAGUCUUUCGUUAAAUCCAGCGUUUUAAUCGUUGGGCUGCGGGAGAUACUAUUUGGCUAGGGGGCGGGAGCGGUCGACGGUAUUUCCGGGGUAGGGGUGAAAUCCUAUAAUCCCGGGAGGACCACCAGUGGCGAAGGCUGUCGACUAGAACGUGCCCGACGGUGAGGGAUGAAAGCUGGGGGAGCGAACCGGAUUAGAUACCCGGGUAGUCCCAGCUGUAAGCAAUGCAGGCUAGGUGUUAGAGCGGCUACGUGCCGCCCUAGUGCCGCAGGGAAGCCGUUAAGCCUGCCGCCUGGGGAGUACGGCCGCAAGGCUGAAACUUAAAGGAAUUGGCGGGGGAGCACCACAAGGGGUGAAGCUUGCGGUUUAAUUGGAGUCAACGCCGGAAAUCUCACCGGGGGCGACAGUAGGAUGAAUGCCAGAUUAAAGGUCUUGCUAGACAAGCUGAGAGGUGGUGCAUGGCCAAC